UUUCUGAACUCACUGUGAGUCAUUAGUUGUACUAAAUAGUAAUUGUUUGUAACUCAUAUUAAUCGAUAUGCUGUGUGUUUCCAGGACUUCCUCAUUCCCCGUCAGGAGAGCGGUCUGUCGCUGUCUACCAGACUGCUGAAGAAACUCAAAGACAUACAGUGAAAGCAUCUAUCAAAUUCUCACUGUUCAGAGAGAGAGAGAGAGAGAGAGAGAGAGAGAGUCAACCCCACAACGCUCUCAUUAAGUUUGCAGUAAUUACCCAGAAGGCCCUGCACCACUUCAAAGCCAAC
ensembl:lncRNA